AAGCUUAGGAUAAUAAAACCAAGAGCCUUCAAAGCCCUUAACAGAAGUGAAAACCUUCUAGUUUC
rnacentral:tRNA from 1 species